rnacentral:tRNA from 1 species
GCUGCUAUGGAUCAGUGGUAGAGCACUGGUCUCGUAAACCAGGGGUCGUGAGUUCAACCCUCACUGGUGGCA